rnacentral:rRNA from 1 species
UGGGGAAUUUUGGACAAUGGGGGCAACCCUGAUCCAGCAAUGCCGCGUGUGUGAAGAAGGCCUUCGGGUUGUAAAGCACUUUUGUCCGGAAAGAAAACGUCGUGGUUAAUACCCGUGGCGGCUGACGGUACCGGAAGAAUAAGCACCGGCUAACUACGUGCCAGCAGCCGCGGUAAUACGUAGGGUGCAAGCGUUAAUCGGAAUUACUGGGCGUAAAGCGUGCGCAGGCGGUCCGCUAAGACAGAUGUGAAAUCCCCGGGCUUAACCUGGGAACUGCAUUUGUGACUGGCGGGCUAGAGUAUGGCAGAGGGGGGUAGAAUUCCACAUGUAGCAGUGAAAUGCGUAGAGAUGUGGAGGAAUACCGAUGGCGAAGGCAGCCCCCUGGGCCAAUACUGACGCUCAUGCACGAAAAGCGUGGGGGAGCAAAACAGGAUUCAGAUACCCUGGUAGUCCACGCCCUAAACGAUGUCAAACUAGUUGUCGGGUCUUCAUUGACUUGGUAACGUAGCUAACGCGUGAAGUUGACCGCCUGGGGAGUACGGUCGCAAGAUUAAAACUCAAAGGAAUUGACGGGGUCAUAGCUGUUUCCUG